UUGAAUAAGAGAUUGGGUACUCCACGAGUACUCGGUACUCCCCCCGCCCUUAUCUAAUCUUUCUUGUCUUCACAGGGACUCCAAACACCUCAGCUCCUUUCAACAUCUCUUCAUUUGUAAUUGCACAAAGAUGAAAGAUCUACUAGAAACGUUGUUGCCUUCACUUCUUAGUUUGGAAAUGUACAAUUGCCCAAAUGAAGAACUGUAAGAAAAGAUGAUGAGUAAAAAUGGAUCCUAUUGGCUGCUUCUCUCGUAUAUCCCGAAAGUUGGCGUAUAAAAUCUAACCAUUGACAAGAAGAACCAGGAGGCUAAGUACAAAACUCAUGCUGAUGGAUAGACUUCUUUUGCAAGAUGAUAUGAGUGUAGAUUUUGAUCCAUGUAAAAGCCGAUGUCCUAGACCAAGUUCUGAUGAUGGAAACGACAAUGAUAAUAUGGCUGGUGAACAUUUGAUAG